AGAUAAUACGAAAGUAAUUAAUAUUAAUCAUUUUAUUCGUUUUUGUCUGAGAUGAUUGUGAUUAUUUAAAUCAUCUUAAUUAAAUGUAACUAUGCUCAUUUGUUUUCUUGUUAACACUAUAUAUUCCGUUUAUCUCGUAAAUGAGCUCCAUGCUUGUCAAAUCAAGUUGUUGUUAUUGUUAUUGAAUGAAAUAAAACUAGAGAUCUGAUUGGUCGAUGUCAAGGUCAUUUCAAGAUGGUUUCCCUUGUGUUUUUAGUCAGGCUUUGGUGUUACAGGCUGCUACCUGUGCUUUGAUUUAGUUCAAUGUGCUUCAAAUAAUAUUGAGAUUAAAACUUUAACAAUUAUUUUCUAAAGGACGGCAUUAUUUAACUUCCAAAGUCGCAUAUUUUUGUAAAAUAUUAAGUCCGAAUUUGUGACGCGUCUCACACCGUAAUUAUUUUUGAUUUACAAGGACUUUUCAACUUCCGUGAAAAAUACAACUUUUUCGAUGUUUCUUUUUAUGAAUUUUUCAUAUUUAAACUUCUAGAAUCAUUUCUAUGCGUUUCCUUCAGCAACUUGAUGCUGGUAAACGACUUUUCCAUGAAAAUACUGCAAAAAGAAAUCGCAUGAUACGAAAAGAAGCUUGAUUACAACCUUUGGCAAUGGCUAAUACUAGAAGAGGCAAGGCAUACAUGUACAUGUACAAUACAUGAUUCUCUGUAGCACCUGGAUUAUCCACAAUAAUUCCAUAACAGCAAUGAAACUCUAGACUACUAUGAUGUUAUGUACAUGUAUAUCUACAUAUAUGAUCAAUGUUGAAGAUUGUUUAUGCCAGGUCUCAUCAUGUUGACUAGUCCGACAAGUUUUGGUUCAGCUUUCUGACAGGAAUAAUUAUAAACUUGCCAGCAGUAACAACACAUGAAUAUUAGUUAUUAUUAAGUGCCCCUAUCGGUCUAGCAAUUUUUAUUAUUGUGCACUAAGAAGUAUGCCUAGUAAUCCAAAACUUUUUGCAUGAAGUUAUUUAAAGAUAGUUGGAAUUCAUGAUAUUGAUGCAUUGUGCAGAAACAUGAAAUAUUUUAGUUUGUAUUCUUAACAAUCCAAGAGUAAGGUUAAAUUGUAUCAAGGAGAAUUACUUAUUACAAUAAUUACGCAGUAGUAUUUUGAUUGUGGAUUUUUUUCAAUUUUAUUAUUUACUGAAUGCAUAUUUGUCACUUGUUCAAACGUAAGUUUAAUUUGAAUUGAAUGCGAACCAAGUUCACACAAUAUUCUUUUUUUCAUUUUGAAUUGAAUUCAAAUCUAAUGCGAAUCGAAUUCGCUAAUAGCAUUCACACACUCUUCUUUUUUUAAUUCGAAUCUAAUUCAAAUUGGCUAAUUUGCAUUAUCCAAAUCUCAUUAGAAAUACCUUUUUGAGUUAAUUCGAUUAAACUUUGGUGUGAACACUUUCUAAAUUGUAAUUCAAAUUAAACUAUAAUAGAUUAAUUGAUAAAUUGAAUUAAAAGUUAACGUCAUUUGGACAGUAAAGCAAUUUUGACGCGUAUUGCAAUUUGAAGUAGAAUUUACAUUUGGACAUUAACCAUGUUAAACUUUUCGAAUGGGUAUUAAACUAUAAAUUCAAACCAGUUAAUGCGAAUCGAAUUCGAAUUAUGUGUGAACACAGCAUUAAUAUAUCUAAGAAAUGAGGAAUAUAAAAUUAUUAAAAAAAGAUGGCCAAAUAUUUGUAUUAA